rnacentral:rRNA from 1 species
UGGGGAAUAUUGGACAAUGGGCGAAAGCCUGAUCCAGCAAUGCCGCGUGAGUGAUGAAGGCCUUAGGGUUGUAAAGCUCUUUUACCAGGGAUGAUAAUGACAGUACCUGGAGAAUAAGCUCCGGCUAACUCCGUGCCAGCAGCCGCGGUAAUACGGAGGGAGCUAGCGUUGUUCGGAAUUACUGGGCGUAAAGCGUACGUAGGCGGUGACUCAAGUCAGAGGUGAAAGCCUGGAGCUCAACUCCAGAACUGCCUUUGAAACUAGGUCGCUAGGAUCACGGAGAGGUGAGUGGAAUUCCGAGUGUAGAGGUGAAAUUCGUAGAUAUUCGGAAGAACACCGGUGGCGAAGGCGGCUCACUGGAUCGGUACUGACGCUGAGGUGCGAAAGCAUGGGGAGCAAACAGGAUUAGAUACCCUAGUAGUCCCUGAGCGGGCUGGCAAGGCGCAU